GUGGGGAAUAUUGGACAAUGGGCGAAAGCCUGAUCCAGCCAUGCCGCGUGUGUGAAGAAGGUCUUCGGAUUGUAAAGCCCUUUAAGCUGGGAGGAAGGGUAGUAACCUAAUACGUUGCUACUUUGACGUUACCGACAGAAUAAGCACCGGCUAACUUCGAGCCAGCAGCCGCGGUAAUACGACGGGUGCAAGCGUUAAUCGGAAUUACUGGGCGUACAGCGAGCGUAGGUGGUUCAGUAAGUUGGAAGUGAAAUCCCCGGGCUCAACCUUGGAACUGCUUUCAAAACUGCUGAGCUAGAGUACGGUAGAGGGUGGUGGAAUUGCCUGUGUAGCGGUGAAAUGCGUAGAUAUAGGAAGGAACACCAGUGGCGAAGGCGACCACCUGGACUGAUACUGACACUGAGGUGCGAAAGCGUGGGGAGCAAACAGGAUUAGAAACCCCGGUAGUCC
rnacentral:rRNA from 1 species